rnacentral:rRNA from 1 species
ACGAACGCUGGCGGCGUGCUUAACACAUGCCAGUCGAACGGAAAGGCCCUGCUUUUGUGGGGUGCUCGAGUGGCGAACGGGUGAGUAACACGUGAGUAACCUGCCCUUGACUUUGGGAUAACUUCAGGAAACUGGGGCUAAUACCGGAUAGGAGCUCCUGCUGCAUGGUGGGGGUUGGAAAGUUUCGGCGGUUGGGGAUGGACUCGCGGCUUAUCAGCUUGUUGGUGGGGUAGUGGCUUACCAAGGCUUUGACGGGUAGCCGGCCUGAGAGGGUGACCGGCCACAUUGGGACUGAGAUACGGCCCCGACUCCUACGGGAGGCAGCAGUGGGGAAUAUUGCACAAUGGGCGGAAGCCUGAUGCAGCAACGCCGCGUGCGGGAUGACGGCCUUCGGGUUGUAAACCGCUUUCGCCUGUGACGAAGCGUGAGUGACGGUAAUGGGUAAAGAAGCACCGGCUAACUACGUG